UUCCUCUCUGUCUCUGCUUCCUCCUGCAUCCUCCUCUCCAUCUCCACAUCCUGCAUCUCCCUCAAUUUCUACGGUGUACACCUCUGAUGUCCCAAACAAAAAAAGGACAAGGAAAGAAUGCCGAAAACACCGUACACAGAAGAUUUUCAAAUAUGAAGAGAUAGUAGACAGGAGAGUUGUAAAUGAAAAAGAAGAAGUUAAAGUCAAGUGGAAGCCCUGCUUAACAUGGUAUGUAGUAACAACGGGAACAGACAUUCAUAUUGUUGAUAAAUAGUUCUCACCUCAAUUUGAAUUCAUGUAUUUGGACUAAAGUAAAUUGAGAGCUUUUAGCAAUCAAGCUGCUCUUCUGUG